rnacentral:rRNA from 1 species
AGUGAACGCUGGCGGUAGGCCUAACACAUGCAAGUCGAACGGCAGCACAGGAGAGCUUGCUCUCUGGGUGGCGAGUGGCGGACGGGUGAGGAAUACAUCGGAAUCUACUCUGUCGUGGGGGAUAACGUAGGGAGACUUACGCUAAUACCGCAUACGACCUACGGGUGAAAGCAGGGGACCUUCGGGCCUCUGGCGAUCGAAUGAGCCGAUGUCGGAUUAGCUAGUUGGCGGGGUAAAGGCCCACCAAGGCGACGAUCCGUAGCUGGUCUGAGAGGAUGAUCAGCCACACUGGAACUGAGACACGGUCCAGACUCCUACGGGAGGCAGCAGUGGGGAAUAUUGGACAAUGGGCGCAAGCCUGAUCCAGCCAUACCGCGUGGGUGAAGAAGGCCUUCGGGUUGUAAAGCCCUUUUGUUGGGAAAGAAAUCCAGCUGGCUAAUACCCGGUUGGGAUGACGGUACCCAAAGAAUAAGCACCGGCUAACUUCGUGCCAGCCGCCGCCGUAA